GGAGGAAUUACAAAAAACAGACCGCUUUUAUAAAAUUCAGAUUGCAUCUCAUGAAAAGAAAGCACAUGAAAACUGGCUUAAUGCACGAGCUGCUGAAAGGACUUUAGUGGAAGAGAAGAGAGAAACUUCAAACCUAAGACAAAAACUUGUUGAAGUUAAUGAUAAACUCAAAGAAAUCCAAAGAACUUCCCUAAUUAAAUCAACCCCUGGCCGCCCAGAUAGACAGAUCCCACCACCACAUAGAGGCACACUGAACCAUAACAACUGCUACGGCCCACCUCCUCUGAGUGGAGGUGACCCUUCACACCCAC